rnacentral:rRNA from 1 species
GAGGAAAAGAAAUCAACCGAGAUUCCCCCAGUAGCGGCGAGCGAACGGGGAGCAGCCCAGAGCCUGAAUCAGUGUGUGUGUUAGUGGAAGCGUCUGGAAAGGCGCGCGAUACAGGGUGACAGCCCCGUACACAAAAAUGCACAUGCUGUGAGCUCGAUGAGUAGGGCGGGACACGUGGUAUCCUGUCUGAAUAUGGGGGGACCAUCCUCCAAGGCUAAAUACUCCUGACUGACCGAUAGUGAACCAGUACCGUGAGGGAAAGGCGAAAAGAACCCCGGCGAGGGGAGUGAAAAAGAACCUGAAACCGUGUACGUACAAGCAGUGGGAGCACGCUUAGGCGUGUGACUGCGUACCUUUUGUAUAAUGGGUCAGCGACUUAUAUUCUGUAGCAAGGUUAACCGAAUAGGGGAGCCGAAGGGAAACCGAGUCUUAACUGGGCGUUAAGUUGCAGGGUAUAGACCCGAAACCCGGUGAUCUAGCCAUGGGCAGGUUGAAGGUUGGGUAACACUAACUGGAGGACCGAACCGACUAAUGUUGAAAAAUUAGCGGAUGACUUGUGGCUGGGGGUGAAAGGCCAAUCAAACCGGGAGAUAGCUGGUUCUCCCCGAAAGCUAUUUAGGUAGCGCCUCGUGAAUUCAUCUCCGGGGGUAGAGCACUGUUUCGGCAAGGGGGUCAUCCCGACUUACCAACCCGAUGCAAACUGCGAAUACCGGAGAAUGUUAUCACGGGAGACACACGGCGGGUGCUAACGUCCGUCGUGAAGAGGGAAACAACCCAGACCGCCAGCUAAGGUCCCAAAGUCAUGGUUAAGUGGGAAACGAUGUGGGAAGGCCCAGACAGCCAGGAUGUUGGCUUAGAAGCAGCCAUCAUUUAAAGAAAGCGUAAUAGCUCACUGGUCGAGUCGGCCUGCGCGGAAGAUGUAACGGGGCUAAACCAUGCACCGAAGCUGCGGCAGCGACGCUUAUGCGUUGUUGGGUAGGGGAGCGUUCUGUAAGCCUGUGAAGGUGUGCUGUGAGGCAUGCUGGAGGUAUCAGAAGUGCGAAUGCUGACAUAAGUAACGAUAAAGCGGGUGAAAAGCCCGCUCGCCGGAAGACCAAGGGUUCCUGUCCAACGUUAAUCGGGGCAGGGUGAGUCGACCCCUAAGGCGAGGCCGAAAGGCGUAGUCGAUGGGAAACAGGUUAAUAUUCCUGUACUUGGUGUUACUGCGAAGGGGGGACGGAGAAGGCUAUGUUGGCCGGGCGACGGUUGUCCCGGUUUAAGCGUGUAGGCUGGUUUUCCAGGCAAAUCCGGAAAAUCAAGGCUGAGGCGUGAUGACGAGGCACUACGGUGCUGAAGCAACAAAUGCCCUGCUUCCAGGAAAAGCCUCUAAGCAUCAGGUAACAUCAAAUCGUACCCCAAACCGACACAGGUGGUCAGGUAGAGAAUACCAAGGCGCUUGAGAGAACUCGGGUGAAGGAACUAGGCAAAAUGGUGCCGUAACUUCGGGAGAAGGCACGCUGAUAUGUAGGUGAAGUCCCUCGCGGAUGGAGCUGAAAUCAGUCGAAGAUACCAGCUGGCUGCAACUGUUUAUUAAAAACACAGCACUGUGCAAACACGAAAGUGGACGUAUACGGUGUGACGCCUGCCCGGUGCCGGAAGGUUAAUUGAUGGGGUCAGCGCAAGCGAAGCUCUUGAUCGAAGCCCCGGUAAACGGCGGCCGUAACUAUAACGGUCCUAAGGUAGCGAAAUUCCUUGUCGGGUAAGUUCCGACCUGCACGAAUGGCGUAAUGAUGGCCAGGCUGUCUCCACCCGAGACUCAGUGAAAUUGAACUCGCUGUGAAGAUGCAGUGUACCCGCGGCAAGACGGAAAGACCCCGUGAACCUUUACUAUAGCUUGACACUGAACAUUGAGCCUUGAUGUGUAGGAUAGGUGGGAGGCUUAGAAGUGUGGACGCCAGUCUGCAUGGAGCCGACCUUGAAAUACCACCCUUUAAUGUUUGAUGUUCUAACGUUGACCCGUAAUCCGGGUUGCGGACAGUGUCUGGUGGGUAGUUUGACUGGGGCGGUCUCCUCCUAAAGAGUAACGGAGGAGCACGAAGGUUGGCUAAUCCUGGUCGGACAUCAGGAGGUUAGUGCAAUGGCAUAAGCCAGCUUGACUGCGAGCGUGACGGCGCGAGCAGGUGCGAAAGCAGGUCAUAGUGAUCCGGUGGUUCUGAAUGGAAGGGCCAUCGCUCAACGGAUAAAAGGUACUCCGGGGAUAACAGGCUGAUACCGCCCAAGAGUUCAUAUCGACGGCGGUGUUUGGCACCUCGAUGUCGGCUCAUCACAUCCUGGGGCUGAAGUAGGUCCCAAGGGUAUGGCUGUUCGCCAUUUAAAGUGGUACGCGAGCUGGGUUUAGAACGUCGUGAGACAGUUCGGUCCCUAUCUGCCGUGGGCGCUGGAGAACUGAGGGGGGCUGCUCCUAGUACGAGAGGACCGGAGUGGACGCAUCACUGGUGUUCGGGUUGUCAUGCCAAUGGCACUGCCCGGUAGCUAAAUGCGGAAGAGAUAAGUGCUGAAAGCAUCUAAGCACGAAACUUGCC